rnacentral:misc_RNA from 1 species
GAUGAAGAACGUAGCGAAAUGCGAUAAGUAAUGUGAAUUGCAGAAUUCAGUGAAUCAUCGAAUCUUUGAACGCACCUUGCGCCCUUUGGCUAUUCCGAAGGGCAUGCCUGUUUGAGUAUCGUGAACACCUCAACUCUUUAUGGUUUUCCAUGAUGAGCUUGGACUCUGGGGGUUUUGCUGGCUCACAGUCGGCUCCUCUAAAAUGAAUCAGCUUACCAGUGUUUGGUGGGUAUCAUGGGUGUGAUAACUAUCUACGCUUGUGGUUUUUCCACCAGGUAACCUUCAGCAGUGGAGGUUCGCUGGAGCUCAUAGAUGUCUCUCCUCAGUGAGGACAGCCCUUUGAAUGUUUGAUCUCAAAUCAGGUAGGACUACCCGCUGAACUUAAGCAUAUCAAUAAGCGGAGGA